UAACACACACACACACACACCCUGCCCUGACCGUCGGCUGCCAAGCACUCAGCCACAUGGGGGUGCAAAGAAAGAACCCACCAGAGACACGGCCAGUGGAGAACAGCCUAUAUUCCAACCUGGGGUAGGGUGUUCCUGCCCAGCCAACGAGCCCUAUUCUCUAAGCCUUCUCGCUCCCUGAAAAUUCAGAGCCAGUGGUAACUGCACAUGCUGCUGGAUCCAACUAGCCCCUUCAGUGUCCAUGCUAUUGUACGGCAAAUUAACAGUGCCAAAUGUCUCAGCCCUUGUGCCCGAAGCCUGACAGUCUACACACUUCUCAAGUGGAAGCAAGCAUCUUAGGAGCGACGGGUGCACAGAAAUUUCACUCCACCUGCCUGCUAAAGCAGUGUAAAGGACCUAGGCCGUACACUCUCCAAACCAUCCAGAGAAGACAGCCGAGUCCCCAGGCGAUGAGGCAGUGCGGGGUACUGCCCUGAUUCCAUGGCAGUGAUGGAAGAUACGGGAAGCAAGUUGCUGUGCGAAGCUGGCCAGAGGCCCUUUGGCUCCGAGGGAGGAGACUUGACAGCAACUUGACUCUUUCUGAGCAACCCCUGCACAGGCACCAAAAUCCUCCACUUCCUUCCACCCAGACAGGUUCCUGGAGGAGUUUUAUUGAACAGUUCCAGGACAAAGGUCCUUCCUCCACUGAAAUAAGCCCUUUUAUGGUCCCCUUUCUCUCUCGCCUCAACAGCCACCCCUGUUCCUGCUGCUCUGCUGUAGCCUGUAGGUUGAUCCUCAUUGCCCAGUCACAGCAGCAGAGAGCCGCGUGCAACUGGUCCGAGGCCUCUCCUCAGCUAAGCCAUAGGCAUGAGCGAGAGCUCACCAGCCACUGGCUCAACCUUGUCCUCGUCUGCCUGCAGGUCACACGCCCCAGCCCCGACCAGCAAGGAACUGCUCUCCUAGGACCAGGCCCCGUCUGUCUCAGAGGACUUGGGACAAUUAGAAUGAGGAAGAUCCCAAGCUGGUAAGAAGCAUCCUAGCUACAGUCCUUGCUGCAGACAUGACACUUCCCUGGACCUAAAGUGUGGGUUCCAAUCUGGGUUCCAAUGGGUGUGCAUACACACACAAACACACAGAUUACAGUGUGCUGGGUUCCAAUGGGUGUGUGUACACACACCCGUCAGUGUGCUGCAUUCAAAUGGGUGUGUGUACACACGCACAGGUCAGUGUGCUGCGUUCAAAUGGGUGUGCGUACACACGCACAGGUCAGUGUGCUGCAUUCAAAUGGGUGUGUGUACACACGCACAGGUCAGUGUGCUGCAUUCAAAUGGGUGUGUGUACACACGCACAGGUCAGUGUGCUGCAUUCAAAUGGGUGUGUGUACACACGCACAGGUCAGUGUGCUGCAUUCAAAUGGGUGUGUGUACACACGCACAGGUCACUGCACUGUACACACGCACAGGUCAGUGUGCUGCGUUCAAAUGGGGGUGUGUACACACGCACAGGUCAGUGGUAGGUCGCAGUGCGCUAUGGAGCAGAGCAGCCCAGCAGCUCAAGGGGGCUGCUCUACCCCCCAUGAGCAAUGGGAUGGCAUCUCCACUCCCAAGCCCUUUGCCCCACAGCAGCCAGCCCGGGGAAGGAGAAACCAGCUCCUG